GACGAACGCUGGCGGCGCGCCUAACACAUGCAAGUCGAACGGAGCUGAGAGAAGCUUGCUUUUCUUAGCUUAGUGGCGAACGGGUGAGUAACGCGUGAGUAACCUGCCCUGGAGUGGGGGACAACAGUUGGAAACGACUGCUAAUACCGCAUAAGCCCACGAUCCGGCAUCGGAUUGAGGGAAAAGGAUUUAUUCGCUUCAGGAUGGACUCGCGUCCAAUUAGCUAGUUGGUGAGGUAACGGCCCACCAAGGCGACGAUUGGUAGCCGGACUGAGAGGUUGAACGGCCACAUUGGGACUGAGACACGGCCCAGACUCCUACGGGAGGCAGCAGUGGGGGAUAUUUCACAAUUGGGGAAACCCUGAUGCAGCGACGCCGCGUGGAGGAAGAAGGUUUUCGGAUGGUAAACUCCUUUCGAUAGGGAAGAUAAUGACGGUACCUAACAAGAAAGCACCGGCUAACUACGUG
rnacentral:rRNA from 1 species